AUUGUAAGCAUCAAGGUGCAGUCCAGCAGCAGCUACAACAGUGCAUUCCAACAGUGACCACUGAACUCGAAGGUGAAAUUGAUAGAUUUUGAGACUUCAAGCUGAUAAAUUGGAACCUACUCUUGGACUACUCAGUGUGUGGAAUGGGGCGAGCAAGUUAUUCAGCUGAGUUGGUGAGGAAUUUAGCUUCAAUUAAGGUAAAUUGGUCGUAAUGCUGAUUUUGGAUGUUUAAUUAAGCCUCAUGUUUUGAGAGUUGUAACUCCAACUUCUUUAUGAGUGAGUUUUAGAGGAUUCUGACUGAUUCACACCUGCCUAUACUGAUUCAAAGCUGCUCUAUGUUGAUUUGUAAGGUACAUUAGCUCCGAAUUAGGGAUUUUUGGGAAUUUCGCGUUCACUUCCCUUUUCAUUGGAGCUAGGGGAAAGUGCUUGUGGAGUUUCAAUUCGAUCCUUUAUCAAAUUAGCACGCUAGAUGGGUUUAGCUACUGCUUCGUAUACACAGAAUAUUCCUAUAUAUACGACGAAUCUGUUGGUGAGCCUGGAAAAAGUGAAGGCCCAGGGCAUAAUAGAUUAACCAUACAAUAAAUGUAUGUGUAUUGGACAUUGUGAUUAACCUUAAAAGUCAUGAAUGUAGCGUGUAAUAUUGACAUAAAUCGCGAUGUUCUGUGUCUAAUGGGAGAUGCCGAUCAUUGUUGACUCCUUAUGUAGUGCUUGGAGAUGUCAAUCACUCUUGACUCCAAGUGGCUAUUAUGCUCGGUGAUGCCGAUCUCUCUCAACACCAAGUGCUUACCGAUUGAAGAGAUACCGAUCACUCUCGACUCUCCAUGAGGUGCGGAGUGUGAAAUAGAACCAACCAAAUGAAUGGUGAGAGAUAUGAGAUAUAUUUUAUAGCAUAGUGAGUAUACUUGAGGUAUUGUAGUGGUACUUCCAUUACUUGCAUUGUUUUCAUAGAAAUAGCUAUUUUAUUUACUAUUGUUCUCUAAUGACUCCUUUGGACCGAAUGGGUGUAAAGUAUCACUUUAGGUGGUUGCACCUACUGCAAACUUAUUUGAAAUUCUCACCCCAUUGUUGUUUACCCUUUCUAAAUCCCAUUAUUGCUGGUGAGAUGCGACACUGUAGUAAAGGCGUUGCGGAGUAGUUAGAUCGUGAGUUGGUCUAGUGUGUACCUAUUUUGGAUGGAAAAACAAAAUUUGUAAUUUUUUCCAAGAACAAAUGUUGUAAAUCUUAAA